GCCGCCUUAGCUCAGAUGGCCAGAGAGCAACGCACUCGUAAUGCGUAGGUCUCGGGUUCGAAUCCCGAAGGCGGCU
rnacentral:tRNA from 1 species